rnacentral:snRNA from 1 species
UUGACCCGCGGUACACUGCGGGU